rnacentral:lncRNA from 10 species
UGAGAGAGAGGCUUCCAUCUCUCAGGUCUGCUGGGAGGAUCUUUAUGGUUGAUUUACUUUUUUUAAAUAAAUGUUUCUUUAUGUGUUUCCCUCAGUUCCUGCCCAGGCUGACUCUAUCAUACAAGCUGUAACUUCUGCCAGUCCUAUCAGCCAGCAAACAGGCUGGGAUGAGGAAGGAAGAUACAAGACUGUGGGAGUUACAUGAC